rnacentral:rRNA from 1 species
GACAGAGGAUGCAAGCGUUAUCCGGAAUGAUUGGGCGUAAAGCGCGCGUAGGCGGCCACUUAAGUCGGAUGUGAAAGCCCCUGGCUCAACUGGGGAAGUGCACCCGAAACUGAGCGGCUUGAAUGCAAAAGAGGGUCGCGGAAUUCCCGGUGUAGAGGUGAAAUUCGUAGAUAUCAGGAGGAACACCGGUGGCGAAGGCGGAUCUCUGGGCCAUUACUGACGCUGAGGAGCGAAAGCGUGGGGAGCGAACAGG